rnacentral:rRNA from 1 species
AGAGUUUCAUCCUGGCUCAGGAUGAACGCUAGCUACAGGCUUAACACAUGCAAGUCGAGGGGCAGCAUGAAUCAAGCUUGCUUGAUUUGAUGGCGACCGGCGCACGGGUGCGUAACACGUAUCCAAUCUACCCAUGGCUCAGGGAUAGCCUUUCGAAAGAAAGAUUAAUACCUGAUGGUUUCAUGAGCCCGCAUGGACUUAUGAAUAAAGAUUUAUCGGCGAUGGAUGAGGAUGCGUCCGAUUAGAUAGUAGGCGGGGUAACGGCCCACCUAGUCGACGAUCGGUAGGGGCUCUGAGAGGAGGAUCCCCCACAUUGGAACUGAGCCAUGAUCAAACUC